CCCCUCCUAAGAAGCAUGCAAUUUAUGGAAAAGAUAUAGAUAUUACUCCACUUGCAGAUCGAAGAUUUUCUGUCAUUGAAAGAGCAAAUAAUUGGACAGUUCAAUUGAGAAAACGAAAUGAUAAUCGAAUAGAUAUUAUUUGUACACAUUUACCAUCAAACAAGCAAUUUCGUUCGAAGCCUGAAGUGGCUAACUUUAUUCUUUAUGAAGCUCGCCCAAAACCUAAAAGCAAGUAGGAAAAGAAAAUUGGAAAUUCUAGUGGAUGCAAUGAGAAAGGUUCGACAUCAAAGAAAAGAAAAAAAGAAGAGAGAGAAACUUAUCAUGAUAUCCCUCUAGAGGAAGCAUGAACAAAUAUGAUGGAAUGGAUUGACUAAAGAAAUUAAGAAUAAAUGUGAAGAAUCAUCCCAGAGUGAAAAGCUUUUACAUUGAAUAA